GCCUGGGUGGCUCAGUCGGUUGAGCAUCUGACUUCAGCUCAGGUCAUGAUCUCGCGGUUCUCAAGUUCAAGCCCUGUGUCAGGCU
rnacentral:tRNA from 1 species